UACGGAGGAUCCGAGCGUUAUCCGGAUUUACUGGGUGUAAAGGGAGCGUAGGCGGCUUAGUAAGUCAGCGGUAAAAUUUCGGGGCUCAACCCCGACAAGCCGUUGAAACUGGCUUGCUAGAGUGGGCGAGAAGUAUGCGGAAUGCGUGGUGUAGCGGUGAAAUGCAUAGAUAUCACGCAGAACUCCGAUUGCGAAGGCAGCAUACCGGCGCCCAACUGACGCUCAGGCACGAAAGCGUGGGUAUCGAACAGG
rnacentral:rRNA from 1 species